AACAGGUCCUAUCCUAUGUUGAAUACAUUAUGUAGGACAGCCGGAUCUUUAUCUUGAAAUAUUAUUACGCACUAAUCGUAGUAUUUUUAUUUGCGAAGUGCCAACAUGCGGGGAUUACUAUCAAUUGUUUUAUUGAUCACAAUUUGUCAAGCUAUAAAGGGUGCCACAAAUGGAACUAGUUGUAAGACGUCGUCUGAAUGCGGUAAAGGCUUCUGCUGUCGAGAUGCCAAUUACAGACUUUUAUCUACUAAUGAUCGGUUUGGAAUUCUAUUAGACGUUGAAGGAACUUGCACGCAAGGUAAAGCAAGACCAGGCGAAGCAUGUGAUGGUGAUUGCCAAUGUGAUACAGGUUUCACAUGUUAUCGACCAAUGAGUGGAGUUUGUUGCCUUCCCAUGACCUGUCAUGAUACCGCUUACGUUAUCAAACAGAUAAAAUACUGGAAGGAUUGUUUGAAAAAUCUAAAAUGUGCUUUACCCCAACGUAUAAAAACCCCCAGUAAUCUGAUAAUACAUUAAAGUACAUGUCUUCUUUAA